UGGGGAAUAUUGGACAAUGGGGGAAACCCUGAUCCAGCAAUGCCGCGUGAGUGAAGAAGGCCUUAGGGUUGUAAAGCUCUUUCGCCCGCGAAGAUAAUGACGGUAGCGGGAGAAGAAGCCCCGGCUAACUCCGUGCCAGCAGCCGCGGUAAUACGGAGGGGGCUAGCGUUGUUCGGAAUUACUGGGCGUAAAGCGUACGUAGGCGGAUGCGCAAGUUGGGGGUGAAAUCCCGGGGCUUAACCUCGGAAUUGCUCUCAAAACUGCACGUCUUGAGACCGAGAGAGGUAAGGGGAAUUCCUAGUGUAGAGGUGAAAUUCGUAGAUAUUAGGAAGAACACCAGUGGCGAAGGCGCCUUACUGGCUCGGUACUGACGCUGAGGUACGAAAGCGUGGGGAGCAAACA
rnacentral:rRNA from 1 species